GCAAACUGCGAAUACCGGAGAAUGUUAUCACGGGAGACACACGGCGGGUGCUAACGUCCGUCGUGAAGAGGGAAACAACCCAGACCGCCAGCUAAGGUCCCAAAGUCAUGGUUAAGUGGGAAACGAUGUGGGAAGGCCCAGACAGCCAGGAUGUUGGCUUAGAAGCAGCCAUCAUUUAAAGAAAGCGUAAUAGCUCACUGGUCGAGUCGGCCUGCGCGGAAGAUGUAACGGGGCUAAACCAUGCACCGAAGCUGCGGCAGCGACACUAUGUGUUGUUGGGUAGGGGAGCG
rnacentral:rRNA from 1 species